rnacentral:rRNA from 2 species
AGUACGGCCGCAAGGUUAAAACUCAAAUGAAUUGACGGGGGCCCGCACAAGCGGUGGAGCAUGUGGUUUAAUUCGAUGCAACGCGAAGAACCUUACCUGGUCUUGACAUCCACAGAACUUUCCAGAGAUGGAUUGGUGCCUUCGGGAACUGUGAGACAGGUGCUGCAUGGCUGUCGUCAGCUCGUGUUGUGAAAUGUUGGGUUAAGUCCCGCAACGAGCGCAACCCUUAUCCUUUGUUGCCAGCGGUUCGGCCGGGAACUCAAAGGAGACUGCCAGUGAUAAACUGGAGGAAGGUGGGGAUGACGUCAAGUCAUCAUGGCCCUUACGACCAGGGCUACACACGUGCUACAAUGGCAUAUACAAAGAGAAGCGACCUCGCGAGAGCAAGCGGACCUCAUAAAGUAUGUCGUAGUCCGGAUUGGAGUCUGCAACUCGACUCCAUGAAGUCGGAAUCGCUAGUAAUCGUAGAUCAGAAUGCUACGGUGAAUACGUUCCCGGGCCUUGUACACACCGCCCGUCACACCAUGGGAGUGGGUUGCAAAAGAAGUAGGUAGCUUAACCUUCGGGAGGGCGCUUACCACUUUGUGAUUCAUGACUGGGGUGAAGUCGUAACAAGGUAACCGUAGGGGAACCUGCGGUUG